UACGGGGCGGGGACAGUGUUGGUGAAUUACUGGGCGUAAAGGGCUCGUAGGCGGCCAACUAAGUCGGACGUGAAAUCCCCAGGCUCAACCUGGGAACUGCGUCCGAUACUGGAUGGCUUGAAUCCGGGAGAGGGAUGCAGAAUUCCAGGUGUAGCGGUGAAAUGACGUAGAUAUCUGGAGGAAUACCGGUGGCGAAGGCGGCAUCCUGGACCGGCAUUGACGCUGAGGAGCGAAAGCCAGGGGAGCAAACGGG
rnacentral:rRNA from 1 species